UAGGGAAUAUUGGUCAAUGGGCGCAAGCCUGAACCAGCCAUGCCGCGUGCAGGAUGAAGGCCCUCAGGGUUGUAAACUGCUUUUGUAUGGGAAUAAAAAGCCCUUGCGAGGGCUAUUGAAGGUACCAUAAGAAUAAGCACCGGCUAACUCCGUGCCAGCAGCCGCGGUAAUACGGAGGGUGCAAGCGUUAUCCGGAUUUACUGGGUUUAAAGGGUGUGUAGGCGGCUCUUUAAGUCAGUGGUGAAAGCCUAGCGCUCAACGCUAGAAAGGCCAUUGAUACUGGAGAGCUUGAGUCAAGAAGAGGUAAGCAGAAUUUAUGGUGUAGCAGUGAAAUGCUUAGAUACCAUAAGGAAUACCAAUAGCGAAGGCAGCUUACUGGUCUUGAACUGACGCUGAGGCACGAAAGCGUGGGGAGCAAACAGGAUUAGAUACCCCCGUAGUCC
rnacentral:rRNA from 1 species